CAGGGCUGUCCAACCUGCGGUCCCCCGGAUGUUGCUGAACUACAACUCCCAUGAUUCCCUGGCUAACUUUUUAAUUGAAAGAAUCAUGGGAGUUGUAGUUCAGCAACAUCUGGGGGGCCGCAGGUUGGACAGUCCUG
rnacentral:miRNA from 1 species